rnacentral:rRNA from 1 species
CGUGGAGAACCUGCCGUAUACUGGGGGAUAACACUUAGAAAUAGGUGCUAAUACCGCAUAAGCGCACAGCUUCGCAUGAAGCAGUGUGGAAAACAAAAAGCUAAAGCUUUUGGUGGUAUACGAUGGAUCCGCGUCUGAUUAGCUUGUUGGCGGGGUGAAGGCCCACCAAGGCGACGAUCAGUAGCCGGCCUGAGAGGGUGAACGGCCACAUUGGGACUGAGACACGGCCCAAACUCCUACGGGAGGCAGCAG